UACGGGGGGGCAAGCGUUGUUCGGAAUUACUGGGCGUAAAGGGCUCGUAGGCGGCCAACUAAGUCAGACGUGAAAUCCCUCGGCUUAACCGGGAACUGCGUCUGAUACUGGAUGGCUUGAGUUCGGGAGAGGGAUGUGGAAUUCCAGGUGUAGCGGUGAAAUGCGUAGAUAUCUGGAGACACCGGUGCGAAGGCGGCAUCCUGGACCGACACUGACCGCUGAU
rnacentral:rRNA from 1 species